rnacentral:misc_RNA from 1 species
CAAAAGUUAAACACUUGGGGAACGGACUCGCCUUUCGGGGCUUGAGGCCUGACUCCAUUUGUAACAAACUUUCAACCACUUGUGAAUUUGUAAUAAUUAUAUCUCACCAAUUGACUGUUAACGAAGUCUGAUUCAAAUUGCAUUGGUGUUUAUAGACACUAGUAAAAUAUGAAA